GGUUGUGACUCAGUGGUAGAGUGCUAGCCUAGCACAUGUGAGGCCCUGGGUUUGAUCCCCAGCACCA
rnacentral:tRNA from 1 species